rnacentral:rRNA from 1 species
GGCCUUGACAUACUAAGAACUUUCCAGAGAUGGAUUGGUGCCUUCGGGAACUUAGAUACAGGUGCUGCAUGGCUGUCGUCAGCUCGUGUCGUGAGAUGUUGGGUUAAGUCCCGNAACGAGCGCAACCCUUUUCCUUAUUUGCCAGCGGGUCAUGCCGGGAACUUUAAGGAUACUGCCAGUGACAAACUGAAGGAAGGCGGGGACGACGUCAAGUCAUCAUGGCCCUUACGGCCAGGGCUACACACGUGCUACAAUGGUCGGUACAAAGGGUUGCUACCUCGCGAGAGGAUGCUAAUCUCAAAAAGCCGAUCGUAGUCCGGAUCGCAGUCUGCAACUCGACUGCGUGAAGUCGGAAUCGCUAGUAAUCGCGGAUCAGAAUGCCGCGGUGAAUACGUUCCCGGGCCUUGUACACACCGCCCGUCACGCCGAUGGGAGUUUGUUGCACCAGAAGUAGGUAGUCUAACCGCAAGGAGGACGCUUACCACGGUGUGGCCGAUGACUGGGGUGAAGUCGUAACAAGGUAAGCGUAGAUGA